AGUGGCCACAGUAUUGGCCCGUGUAGCCCCAGGAUAUCUCAAAUUAUCUUAAAGCUAGAUCAGUGAUUAAAGGAUUCUCAGGCCAGGCAUGGUAGUUUUCAGGCCUGGUAUGGUGGUUUACGCCUGUAAUCCCCGCACUUUGGGAGGCCUAGGUGGGCGGAUGGCUUGAGCCCGGGAGUUUGAGACCAGCCUAGCCAACAUGGGGAGACCCUGUCUUUACAAAAGCACAAAAAUUAGCUGGGCAUGGUGAUGCGCAACUGUAGUCUCAAGUACGUUGUGUGAGGUGGGAGGAUCACUUGAGCCCGGGAGGUCGAGGCUGCAGUGAGCUGAGAUUGCACAACUGCACUCCAGCCUGGGUGACAGAAUGAGACCCUGUCUCAAAAAAAAAAAAAAAGGAUUCUCAGAAAGGCUGGCGAUUACUUUUUAAGCUAUAAGGAAGGCCUUUGAAGGGAAAUCAAAUAGGAAGAGGAUGAUAGCUGGCUCACAUGUCCUUGCCACAUGGGAGGAAGAGUGUCUUCAUCUCUGCAUCCCUAGUGCAACAGAGCAUGAUAAAAAUUCAAUAAAUAUUUAUUGCAGAGUCUUGAUGUCUUUUGGGAAAGGAACUCUAUGGUUACCUUUACUCUAAGUUGCUUAUAAUCUAGGUGAGGACACAUCUGAGAGAAUAACUAAUAGUUCAGUGAAGAUUAGAAGGGUGUUACUGAUUCUUACCUCAGAGAAGAGAAUGUCAUGGAGACAAAAUGACCUGCUUAGAGUUCUGCGCCCCCCAGCAUGGAGAGCAGAGCGCAAAGAUUUCCUCCAGACUCCCACAUUCUCCCUUGGAAUCCAAGAACUUGUCUACUAUCACAACACUUUAGUACCCACUUCUCCUAAGGAGGCAGCAGAAACCAAGGUAAUCACAAUGGUCAACAGCAGCGAAGGCAGCACUUUCUGAUUUUAAACUUGACUGCUAUGGAUGCCACCUCAG
rnacentral:antisense_RNA from 1 species